CUCAUUCUCUUCUGGAAACGACUCUUGACAAGAUCUCCACAAGCCAGGGGACAAUCCAGAGCCAUAUUUUGCAGCCAGCCAGCUAGCUACGAGGUGUGGCCCUGAAUAGUGAAGGUUAAAGAAUCCUUUGUGUAAGGACAGAUUUGACAUCUUCUCACCAUGGCCUCUCAGGUCAAUGAUCCAGAUGAAUCUGAGCUUGACUUUCCACUGCAUCCAUACAAGGUUGGAGAUUUGGUUGUUCUGAAAUGGUGGUCGGCUGAUUCCACUCAGCACAGAUGGAAUGGUCCUUUCAAAGUGAUUGAGAUCACCUUCUCGUCUGUGAAGGUGGAUGGAGUGAAGAAGUGGAUCCACCACUCUGAAGUGAGGAGAUAUGUUCCAACCCCUGAGGAAGAGGAGAAAAAGGAAUCAGAGUGACCAAGUGUCAAACCUUCUUUCUUUGAAUAUUAAAUAAAAGGCUAACGUGAAGAGCAGUUAGCAUGCUCCCAAAAAUACAUACUUCUUUAUUGCCGCAAUAAUAAACAAUUGGAUUGGCUUUA